UAUCGGAUCGUUUUAGAAACAUCAGUGGCCAACAGAUCGCCAGAUCGUUGAGCUGCAUUGGCGGGAUUUCGCCGUCUUCGUUUCUCUUUCUUCGCGGACGAACACGCGCUGGGCCUGCAACGGCAGGAUCCAGGGUCCUUAACGGGAUGUGCGUUAGGGGCUUGUAGCUCAGUUGGUUAGAGCGCGCGCUUGAUAAGCGUGAGGUCGGAAGUUCAAGUCUUCCCAGGCCCACCACUUUCAUCGAGUGAGCAUUCGUCUUCUGGUUACGGGGCCAUAGCUCAGCUGGGAGAGCGCGUGCUUUGCAAGCAUGAGGUCGUCGGUUCGAUCCCGUCUGGCUCCACCAGAUGGUUUGAUCACCGAGAUCUUGACCGUCGUCCGCGAAACAUCACUUCGCAUCCUGCUAGUCUGGAUAGACAGCAGUUUGCGUGUUUUCUGACAUCGUAAAGAGGAGAUCGAUCCGAGUUGGGUCGUGCAGCAUAUCGUUGCGCGAGCCUUCAUUAUCUCCGGAUCAUUUCGGCGCUCGCUUCCAGCCGUGAGGUUGGAUGCGGGUUGUAAAUGAUCCUUUUAGCGAAGCUUGACCGCCUCGCUAUCGGAACGAUCUUACGAAGCAAGCUGGUCUUUCUAGUCAAUGUCCGGCUGCGGAUAGCGUUCAUCGAGGGCGCGUGCCGCAAGGCAAUUCUGCAGACAACAUUCUGCCGAGUGUGUGGACAUUGAUAAUGAGAGCAAUCAAGUGCCUUAAGGGUGUUCGGUGGAUGCCUUGGCGCUGAGAGGCGAUGAAGGACGUGCUACGCUGCGAUAAGCCGUGGGGAGCUGCGAAGAAGCUUUGAUCCGCGGAUU
rnacentral:misc_RNA from 1 species